UUUUGCAAAAAAAAGUGGUAUUUGGGGGAGAUAAUGUCACAUUUUUGGGAGAAAAAUGGUAUUUUGGGGAGACGAUGUCAUAUUUUGGAGAAAAGUGGUGUUUUGGGGGAGGAAAAGUGUUAUUCGGGGGACAAAGUUGUCAUAAUUUGGGGAGAAAUCUGGUAUUUUCUGAAAAGAAUGCCUUAUUUUCCGGUGAAAAGUGGCGUUCUUCUGGGAAAAAAAUGCCUUAUUUUCGUGAGAGAUGUAGUAUUUUGGUAGAGAAAAUUGGUAUUUAAGAGAGAAAAUAUCGGUUUUUUUUUUGUUUUUUUGAAGAAAAGUGGUAUUUUCGAGAGAAAAAUGGUCAUUUGGGGGAGGAAAGUGGUAUUUUGCAAGAGAAAA
rnacentral:lncRNA from 1 species